rnacentral:rRNA from 1 species
UACGAAGGGUGCAAGCGUUACUCGGAAUUACUGGGCGUAAAGGGCGCGUAGGCGGCCUUCUAAGUCGAACGUGAAAUCCCCGGGCUCAACCCGGGAACUGCGUCCGAUACUGGAAGGCUUGAAUCCGGGAGAGGGAUGCGGAAUUCCAGGUGUAGCGGUGAAAUGCGUAGAUAUCUGGAGGAACACCGGUGGCGAAGGCGGCAUCCUGGACCGGUAUUGACGCUGAGGCGCGAAAGCCAGGGGAGCAAAGCGGG